UACGAAGGGGGCGAGCGUUAGGCGGAAUCACUGGGCUUAAAGCGUGUGUAGGCGGACUUCUAAGUACCUUGUGAAAUCCCACGGCUCAACCGUGGAACUGCUUGGUAUACUGGUCGUCUUGAGCCAUCUAGGGGCUGUCGGAACAAAUGGUGGAGCGGUGAAAUGCGUAGAUAUCAUUUGGAACGCCAAAGGUGAAAACAGACAGCUGGGGAUGUGCUGACGCUGAGACACGAAAGCCAGGGGAGCGAACGGGG
rnacentral:rRNA from 1 species